GCGGCUGUAGCUCAGUUGGUUAGAGCGCUGGAUUGUGGAUCCAGAGGUCGAAGGUUCAAAUCCCUCCAGCCGUACCA
rnacentral:tRNA from 1 species